rnacentral:pre_miRNA from 1 species
UUUCAAAGUUGGAACACAGCAUGGAGCCUGGGGCCAGUGGAGAGUCCCACUGACCCCAGGCUCCAUGUGAGCUUCUGCUUUGAAA